rnacentral:lncRNA from 1 species
AGCUCUAAAAUACUUACCAUGUCCCGUACCAAUCAGCUCCCGGUUUCGUUACUAUUAGUUGUUUUGUCUUCCUCUUCAGAUUUUGAUACUGCUGAAAUAUAAGGCAAAUAUCCGUAAAGAAUAGUUCUAGCGUUUGCUAUUGUGCUUACCGUAAGCUUGGUUUUACGGUCUACGUAGUUUCACGCAUCACCCAGUCAAACAAUAAAAAAAACAUUGCUAUUUCAGUUUAAUUUUGAUUUCGGAUUAUUUCGACACUCUUUCAUUACUUAUUGCUUUUUUUUUUAUUUCUCUUGGAUGGUAUUAAUGAGCUUGUUGGAAAUUCCAUAGUAGCCAAGCAUUUUUUCUUAUCAACUCCAUCGAAAACUUUUUCAGAGUUGAGAAAUUGAGAUGGUGGGGAGCCUGCCGUUGUAUUUCUGUUAUAAUCUCUAUUGCAAGAAUGCAGUUGUUCUUAGACGCUCUUGCUCGGCACUUUAUAUUUGUUCUAAGAUAUUUUCCUGUGUUCCCAAAAGUGAUCUUUGCGAGUACUCUACUGAGUACUGGGAAGAGCAUGCCACCACAUCAGUUUUUGUUGGCAAUACAAUAUUACUUUUUUAUAUUUUAUCACCAUUUAGUUUUUCUUCCAAUCCGUGAUUACUGAGCCUUCCUUCCAUAUCUUCUGUAGUAAAGAUCCUAGCGAAUAAGAUGUAGUGGCAAUACCACUUUUAACGCUGUAGGUGAAACUCCAUCUUUACCAGCUACUUUUCUGCUUUUCAGUAUCUUUAGGGCUUCGAAAAUUCCAUUGUUUGCCAGCUGCUCAAUAUUUAUGCUUCGCUCGGAGGUCGCUGGUGAAAUUUCUAGUUCGCAUAUGAGUGGGGUAGAGCCUGUUGAGCAGUUCUAAAGUGUAGUUAGGCAAUCCUUUCUUCUGCUCUUAUUCCGAGGUUAUUCGCUGUCCUGCUGUAUCUUUCACUGUUUUGGAGAUAUUUGGAAGAUUUCCAGCUAAAGUACUGGAGGUACUGCAGAGUAUCCUCCAGUCUCCUUUUUGUGUCACUUCCGUUGACUUGUCUACACGCUUUUCAUGACAGGAUCUUUCGUUCUUCUUUUCAUUUCUCUUUACCUCCUUAUAUUUGUCUCGUCCUCUUGGACAUUGAUCAUAGCCAGCUUUGGCUAUUCACUCCUCGGUAUCGCUGGAAAGCGAUUCUGACACUGCGUUUUCCUUAUUCCAAGGACUUCAGUGCAUAUUUCUUUGUAAACGUCAUUUAUCAAUACCUAAUUUUCAUCCAUUGACGUGUUGUUUAUAGCAUACUUACUCUAGUGUUUCUAGCCUAAUUUUAAGCAUGACGGAAAAUUCUGUAUUUUUUUUCCGUUUCGUUCUCUCUCAUCUUCUGGCCGUUGUAUUUGCAAUGCAGCUUUUCGCUCACAUCUUCGAAAAUUCUCAACAUUAUUUUGAUUUUUUUUCUGGCACCAACAAGUAAUCCAAUGCCAUAUUCUCUUUCAUCGUUCGAGAAUCAAUCAAGCUGUCAAUAGCGUUAUCAAUACCGAGGUAUUUUCCCUUGUAAUCUAUUCUAUUUUUGCAUUUAUAAGGCAAGUCAGUUCCUUGAUAUAUCCUUUUCGCUAUUUUGAUAACUGUUUGAAGUUAUUUGUUGAAAUGUUUCUCCUUUUGGUCCACGUUAUUUGUGAGUGCGUUGCACUGGACGAUCCUGGUCACUCUACAGCGUGAAUUGCUUCUUGCUGUCGAUAUUUCUAAUGAUAUAAGCUCCUAUUCCAUCGCUGCUUUGCAUGCCUGUGGUGUCAAUGAGAUAUAACGAUCACUUCUUCCGUGCUACUGUGUUCUUCAUUUUCAAGACUGGAAUAUAACAUCCUCCCGCCAAAAGCCAGUUUUAUCAUUUUGCUCCCGUUCCAUCACCCUCGCAGAUUCCUAACGCUUGACUUCCAUAUUUUUUGGCCAAUUGGGCUCCAAUGCUUGCCAAAUUCUACAUUCACGUGUUCUAUGUUCCAGUUUUUAUCGCUUUUGUUGAUAGAAAAUUCUGGUUUGUCGAAUGCUUCCACUAAGCCUCUUCAUACUUUCUCCUGCUGAAGUUGAGAUUUCUAUUGUUAUUAUAAUAUUUGAGAAGCCUCCUCCUCCUCCACCACCACCACCACUAUCCCGGUUAGGAAGUGGUUGGAAACUCCACGAGUUUUCAGAUGAAGUUAGUAUGUAACAUAUAGUUUUUAUCAUUUUUCUCGGUACAGAUGCACCAACAUAUGUUCUUAUGCCUUUGAAAGUUAGGUCCAGUGAAUGAAUAAGAUUCCCAGGAGUAACUGGAUUCUGCUUGAAAUAUCAGCCAAAUCUCCCUCACCUUUCAUUCCAAGCAAACUUUAGCUUAAGCUUGUACUGAUAAAAGUCUUCAAUUUCCAUUUAACCAUGUAUAGAAAUAUCGAUUUCAAAUUUUGACACAAGGCCAGAGAUUUCGGGGCAGUGGGUAAGUGGAAUACAGCGACCUCAAUGCAAAAAUGGUGCUUAUUUUAUCGACUCCGAAAGGAUGAAAGGUAAAGUCGACCUCAGCGGAAUUUGAACUCAGAUCGAAAAGGUGGACGAAAUGUCGCUAAACAUUUUGCAUGGCGUACAAGUGAUUCUGCCAGCUUGCUACCUUACUUUGUGUAGCAAUAUUAAAUGUUUGCCAAAAGGCGGUGAGCUGUCAGAAACGUUAGCACGCCGGGCGAAAUGCGUAGCUGUAUUUCAUCUGCCGUUACGUUCUGAGUUCAAAUUCCGCCGAGGUCGACUUUGCCUUUCAUCCUUUCGAUGUCGAUUAAAUAAGUACCAGUUACGCACUGGGGUCGAUAUAAUCGACUAAAUCCGAUUGUCUGUCCUUGUUUGUCCCCUCUGUGUGUAACCCCUUGUGGGCAAUAAAGAAAUAGGAAUCUUUAGCAUGCCGGGCAAAAUGUUAGCGGCAUUUCGCCUGUCUUAACGUUCAAAUUCCGCCGAGGUCGACUUUACUUUUUAUCCUUUCGGAGGUCGAUAGAAUAAGUUCCAUUUGAUCACUGGAAACGAUGUGAUCGACUUACCCCCUACCCCAAAACUGCUGGUCUUUUGAAACCAAUAUCAAAAGUUUGCAAGGUUAAUCCAUUAUGUUGGAAUGGUAGUAGAUUAUUAAUAAAAAGGAAUAUUAGAAUACUGGUAUGGAUGAAAAUAUAUUUAUAAAAGCUAUUUUAAUAUGACAGUAUCGAGGUGCGUCACAGAUUAAUUUAUAUAAUAUAAAGGUACUGAUGUCGAAAUAGUGUUAAAACAACGAAGUAUUGAAAAUAUACUUUUUAAGAAGUUCCGAAAUAAUGUCAAAUAAAAUUAUUCAGAAUAAUAUGUGACUAGUAAAAAAUGGAGGUGAAAGCCUGAUUUACAUCCGAAAAUAGUAACAAAACUGCAUAAAAAGAUUACCAGGUACUCAGUUUGGUAUUAUUGAAUCACUAAUGAUAUGUAACUUCGAAAAUAAAAUGUGACAAAAAAACUGACCUUUGACACAAUAGAUCUAGAAAAUCACGUAUAAUGAUCACCACGUUCACAUUUCAAAAUACAUUUUUCUUUUCUUUUGAAGAUAUAUCAUUAUUUAGUUUUAUGCUAAAAUAAUGCUGCAUUAGCGCUCUAAUAUCUGUGACGGUACAAGAAGAAGGAAAGGCGGCGAGCUGGCAGAAACGUUAGCACGCCGGGCGAAAUGCUUAGCGGUAUUUCGUCUGCGUUACGUUGUGAGUUCAAAUUCCGCCGAGGUCGACUUUGCCUUUCAUCCUUUCGGAGUUGAUAAAUUAAGUACCAGUUACGCACGGGGGUCGAUGUAAUCGACUUAAUACCUAUGUCUGUCCUUGUUUGUCCCCUCUGUGUUUAGCCCCUUGUGGGCAAUAAAGAAAUAGGUACAAGAAGAAGGAGGAGCAGGAGAAGGAGAAUGAGGAGCAGGAGAAGGAGAAUGAGGAGAAUAAUGAUAAUGAUAAUAAUAAUAUGAAGAAGAAGAGAAAGGAGAGGAGGAGGAACUACUACUAUACAAGUACCUUACGUCGGUUAUACACUGGUCUUAGCUAUGUGCAAUAUAACGGAGUUUAAAACUAGGAGCGAAUCAAAAUGAUUGUAAUAUAUUGAUUUCAAAAGGCGGCGAGCUAGCAGGCACUUUAGCACGCCGGGUGAAAUGCUUAGCGGGUUUUUCGUCUGUCUUUUCGUUCUGAGUUCAAAUUCCGCCGAGGUCGACUUUGCCUUUCAUGGUUUCGGGAUCGAUAGAUUAAGUACCAGUUGGGGAGGGGAGUCGAUUAAAUCGAUCCCGCCUCCCACAAAAUUUGGGGCGUUGUGCCUAGAAUAGAAAGGAACAUAUUGGUUUCAAACUGUGGCACAAGGCAGGGGCUAAGUCGAUUACAUCGACCCCAGAGCUCAACUGGUACUUAUUCUCCCAACCCGGAAAGGCUGAAAAGCAAAGUCGACUUUGGCAGAAUUUGAACUCAGAACAAAGACGGACGAAAUGCCGCUAAGCAUUUUGCUCGGCGUGCUAGCGAUUCUGCCAGCUUGCUGUCUUAAUGUUUGUAAUAGAUUAAUAUAUAUUUCUUUAUUGUCAAACAGGGGGCUAAACAUAGAGGGGACAAACAAAGGGUUUAAGCUGAUUACACCGACCCCAGUGUGUAACUGGUACUUAUUUAAUCGACCCCGAAAGUGUGAAAAGUAAAGUCGACCUCGGCGGAAUUUGAACUCAGAACGUAGCGGCAGACGAAAUACCUAUUUCUUUACAGCCCACAAGAGGUUACACACAGAGGGGACAAGCAAGGACAGGCAAACGGAUUAAGUCGACUAUAUCGACCCCAGUCCGUAACUGGUACUUAAUUUAUCGACCUCGAAAGGAUGAAAGGCAAAGUCGACCUCGGCGGAAUUUGAACUCAGAACGCAGCGGCGGACGAAAUACCACAAAGCAUUUCGCCCGGCGUGCUAACGUCUCUGCCAGCUCGCCGCCCUAAAUAUUAAUAUAUUAAUAUAAAUCAUUCGUGUAAUAUAAUAUAUUAAUAUAAAUCAUUAGUGUGAUAUAAUAUAUUAAUAUAAAUCACUCGUAAUGUAAUAUAUUAAUAUAAAUCACUCGUACAUCCUGAUGAAGACUUUUCAGCUUGCGGUGAACAGUUUUUAUCAGGAUGUCUGUGUUGUUGAAAUUUUACGUGCUACGCCUUUCACGUAUCGAAAAUAUUAUUACUAAGGAGGAUUUAACGAUCAGACGAGAAUCGCGAAAUGGUGGCAAAACUCAGAAUUACCUCGUCUAUGAUGAAGGUUCAGUUUCUACUUCCGUCUUUUCCCGGUAAUAUAUUCUUCACAUCGGCUAUUAAUGAAUAUCUUGAAGAAUGAUGGAAUCUGUCUGCUUGAUUUGACCUCCAUCAAGGAAUAUGAGAAAUUUAUGGAUUUUCAAUCUUAGUCUUAUCUAUUAUCUUCGCUUUCCUUCUUAUGGAUUGCUUUCGAGAUCAUUAAUUAUUGCUUUUAUGCAUUGAGUUUGUUUAUUAUAUUUCUAUGAUAUACUUUGCGUCCAUAAAAUGCAUCCGGAAGCUUUGUAAAGGCUAUUCAGCUUCUUUGUGAUCGCUCAUGCUGCUAAAAGUAAUAGCUGAAUCUCUUUCAUAUCUCAUAAUACUGUCUUACAAAAGGAAAUACAUACUGGAUAAUAUAGUAGAUACAUAAAAGGACGAAAUAGCCUAUUGUGGGAUGCUUUUUGGUAAUAAGUCUGCUGUAUGAAAAGUAACCCGGAGAUACGUGGAACAUACGCUGAUAUAUCUUAUAGCUUAUAGUAUAAUCUUGAAUGGCUACUGAAGUAGUCUUUACGUAUAUAAACACCUAUAAUUUAUACACGACAAUAAAUAUACUUGUUGUGUUGGAAGGUUGACAUCGCACUCGGUUCUUUCAAUAUUGCAACAAUAGUUUAGUAUUGUGCAAAUAUCUUGAAAGCAUUUGAAUUUUAUUUUCCUUUUGACCACUCGAUGUAUUUGUUUGGAAAAUAAUUAUAAUAUUGAACAACAUCCAAAGUACGAUAUGAAUUUACACAAUGUCAAUGCGAUGGGCGUCAUAUGUUUAAUAAUUCUUAUCCAUGGUUUCUUUUUUCCUGAAUUAGUCGGAAGUGGGGUGGAGAAUAAUUUCAGACUCAUGAAACGUUCAUAUUGAAUUUCUGUUGGCAGACAACUAUAGCAAAGGGAGGUAGGGGUGACUGUUGUUCUGGAAUGAAAUUAUAGAACAAAAUGUACGGUUCAUUGUCUGAAAGUUGGAAUAGAACAGACACAACGAAAAGAGGAGAGUGGAGUUGUAUAGAAUGAACCAGGUUACGAGUGGCAUGUAACCAACUUGUUUAGAGGACCAGAAGCAGUUCUUAGUAAUGGGAACAGAAGGGACGAUAUAUCUGUGAGCUAAUGGUUUUGUCAUGUUGGUGAUGGAAUCUUUGCUAAUAAUCUGAGUAGCAGUUAUUUUGGAUGUGGUCUAAGAUAUUAGUGCGUAUAUUAGCAACAUCGUUCCAGAUAUAUGAACAUUAAUUAGAAAUUAUCAGUUUCUAACUUUGUUAGAAACUAAUCAAAGCUAAAUUAAUUUUCUAUAUCAUUUGAACUCAACAACGAUAAAAUCUAUACGGCUAUUGUAGAGAGCAGCUUAUUUUUUAAGAUAUUUAACUCAUGCGCACACGGAAAUUAUAGACUUAUUUUUUAAUGAAAUUAUUACUGAAUAUUUUUCUCAUCAUAUAUAUAUAUAUAUAUAUAUAUAUAUAUAUAUAUAUAUAGUCAAGACUGAUAUAACACACUGUCAUAUUAUUUAAAAUAUUUUGUUUAUGAAAAUUGUGAACUAUAUUUUAAACAGAAACGAUAGUCAUAAUUUGGGUAGUGAGCCUAAUUCAUUACACGCAUUAAAACCACUUUCUGCUGAGCCUUGCGUUUCUUUAGUGUGCGACCGCUCGAUUAAACUCCAGUAUUUUCUGGUCCUUGGGUGCCUUUUGUGUUUCAACAUCUGGUUUAAUUUCGCCACCUCUUGGUCCUUAGUUGCCUUUAGUGGGGUAUCACCCGUUUUACUAGGGUGAUAUCCCACUAGCAUCAGGCUCACAAUCAUGAGGCAGUGAGUUCGAUUCCCGGACCGGUAUGUGUGUUGUGUUCUUGAGUAAGACACCUUAAUUUUUUUCACGUUGCUCCCGUUCACUCAGCUGCAGAAAUGAAUUGUAAUGUUACUAGCGCCAAGCUGUAUCGGCCUUUGCCUUUCCCUUGGAUAACAUCCGUGGUAUGGAGUGAGGAGGCUCGUAUGCAUCGGCGACUGCUGGUCUCCCAUAAGUAAUUUUGCCCGGAUUUUUGCCUCGGAGGGUUACUUUCCAGGUACAGUCCCAUGCUCAUUCAUGACUGAACGGGGUCUUUACUCUUUACUCUUUAUUCCUUUACUCGAUUUAAUACCACCAUUUCUUGGUCCUUGAGUAACUUUAGCGUAUCAUUACUCUGACAAACCUCACAUCGGCUGGUCCUUUGAUACUUUAAUGCGCCAUCCCUUAGUUUAAGCCCACCACCUAUUAUGCGCCAUUACUCUCUUUAGUUGGACUCUGGGUGCUUUAGUAUAAUUCACUUUCUUGCAAGCAUUCAGAUCAAAUUUCCAGUCUGUGGAUAACGCAGUGUUUUGAUUCACUGCUUCUUUCUGUACCUUUUUAUGUGUAGUAUUACUAUUUGUCCAGCGUUUCAGAGAGAAGAGGUUUACCAGUGGAAGAAUGCUCCAAAUAGGGGAGAGGAAUUGACUCCUAACAUCGCAUGAAUAGCAUCUAUUUACUGGAUGGUUUGCAUACGGCAAUCGACUUCCAGUUGUGCUACUUACAGGCUUUGACGUAGGAGUCUAGCAGCAAAUCAUGAGUCGUCAUGAAUCCGCUGUUUCUUCACCAGUCUCGUAAGAUCUAUGAAUAUUUAUUGGUAUGUUACACUUGAUAUUUUGAUGAAAUCACUCAACAAUAGUAAUGAAAAGAACAUCAGCAUUACUACCAACAGUAGCAACAUAAAUAGCAACAACAGUCACCAGUUAUUUACUCGAGAAUAGCAAUAUUCAAAUUGACUUUAACAUAAUACUAAACACAUUUUAUUUCAGAACUAACAGCAUACUCGGUUAACUACUAGUAUCAUUGACUUGCGUAACAUUAGUUACACCAGUUACAUUAGGUAAUGAAAAAAAUUAUUCAUUUUGCUAACACUAAAAGCAAUUAGUUGCUAGGCUGAUUAAUCUUAUUAGUUAUUUCAGUAACACUUAUGACAUAAGUUAUUCGGCGAAUUAAUAACAGUACUUAUGAAGAAAUCACUAAUAACGUUGGUUAAUUGUUUAGUUAACAUCAUUGGUUACUUCGGCAACACAAACAGCUCUAGCUGUUUGGGUAACACUAAUACAGUUUAAUUACUCUUUUAAUGGGUUAACUAAUUGAUCAGAUAACAGUUUCAACUAUUUUCUCAAAUUCAUUUUGAUUUUCGGUCGAAUAAUGUAAAAUCAUAACGUUCAGUGAACAUGUCGGCUUAAAUUUUAUUGGAUAUGAUGUUGAGAGAAAUAACGCAGACGAUAGCGACUACAAUGAGGUUUGAAACUGAUAAUGAAUAUAAGAGUGAUGAGAGCGAUGAUGCUUUAUAAUGAUAAAGGAACUAAUGAAGAUAAUGGUGAUCAGAGCUUUACUGAUAUUUCUGUUUAUGUGGACGUCAAAGACGACGACGAUGAUAAUGAUGUAGUGUUACCCAUGUAACUACAUAUGUAUGUAUAUAUAUAUAAUAAUACAUACGUACAUACAUACAUACAUACAUACAUACACACACACACACACACACACACACAUAUAUAUAUAUAUAUAUAUAUAUAUAUAUAUAUAUAUAAUGGAUAAUAAAACGAACGGUUUGCACCUGGUAGCUUACUGGUAAAGCAUGGUCACUUUCACAGUGAUCGUUAUGUUAAUGCUUUUCUCGCUGUAUUGUGUGUUCGUUUCUCUUUUUGCCAUCUGUGAUUUCAUUUGUGAUCUUCUGUAUAAAUGUAGAUAUUUCCUCCGUACGGCUGAUUCUCUUUCUACAAAACGGGCAGUUACAUUGCGGAACAGAUGUCUUAACAAGUUGUAUUUAUUUAUCACCUGACAAGAUACAUCUGCACCACCGGAUGCUUCUGAACCAGUUGUUGAGUGUCCCGCCCGUGAGGAAUCGAUGCUAGAUGCGUCGAAACAAUUGUCGUGAUUAAUAAUAAAUUCUCGUACAUUCUAUCUUUCAUCUUUCAUUUACCAUAUAUAUAUAUAUAUAUAUAUAUAUAUAUAUAUAUAUAUAUAUAUAUAUAUAUAUAUAUAUAUAUAUAUAUAUAUAUAUAUAUAUAUAUAUAUAUAUAUAUAUAUAUAUAUAUAUAUAUAUAUAUAUAUAUAUAUAUAUAUAUAUAUAUAUAAUAAUACAUACAUACAUACAUACAUACAUACAUACAUAUAUGUACAUAUAUAUGUAUAAUGAGGGCGCAUGGCUUAGUGGUUGGGGUGUUACACUCACGAUCGCUAGAUCGUGGUUUGAAAUACACACACACACACACACACACACAUAUAUAUUCACGCAUGCACGCACAGACAUAUAUACGAUGGGCUUUUAAUGUCUACCAACCGAUUCUGCUCACAAGGUUCUGGUCGGCCAGGUGUUAUAGUGGAAGAUACUUGCUCAAAGUGCCAUGAAGUGAUACUAAACCCGGAACCAUGUGGAUGGAAAGCAAGCUUCUUACCAUACUGCCACGCCUGCUCCUCUUACUUGGGUAGUUGCUCACAUUAGUAGUUAAGUGGGUAGCAUUUAUAAUAUUUUACUGUAUCUCGGGAGGGUCAUUAUCUUUUACUGCUUUAUUACUUAACACACACACCGGUUCAAUUUCCACUCAUUUACUUAUUUAUGUUUUCUAAAAUUUUCGUUGCGUUUUGCAACCUUUUCAAUUGUCAUUUACUCUAAUAAUAUUAGUGAGAAAAAUAAUACAAAUGGCAUUGGCAAAUUGGGCUACGUUAAAAGCUGUAGAGGCCUUGGUAACACAAAUAGCAUUUAUGAGUUGGAUAGCACCAAUAGCAUUAGUUAACUGGGCAUCGCAAUUAGCAAUGUUUAGUCGAGUAACACUAAAAGUUUUAAUGACCUGUAGGGAUACCGUAUUUUGUUAUGCAACUAUAGUGUACUACAAACUACAAAAUACGAAGGGUGUAUGGAAAGUCUUGAGCCUCCCCCCCCCAAAAAAAAAACAUGGUACAAGACUUCUGAUGAUUUAUUUUUCAACUUCCUACAGCGUCUAUGACGUCAUUGUCACUGGCAAAAUGGCGAUCAGCCAGGACUUUUUUCAGUUUUGGGAAUAGAUGGAAGUCAGAGGGGGCUAAGCCUGGCGAAUAAGGCGGGUGAGGAACAAGGUCGUAUCCACAAUCAAGAAUUGUUGCUAUGGCAACCACUGAGGCGUGGGAUGGAGCAUUGUCAUGAUGAAAAAGGACUCCUGUGGUGAGCAAUCCCGGCCUUUUUCUUUGAUUGAUCUCAGAAGCAUUUCAGUAGCUGAGAAUAAUAAUUCCUAUCACGGUGUGACCCUUUUCAAGGUAAUCUAUCAGCAAGACACCUUGAGAAUCAUAAAAAAACGGACGCCAUGACCGUGCCAGCUUAAGGAAUGAUCCUGGUCUUUGGGGUAGAAGAUGUGUGCUUCCACUGCUUUGAUUGUUCUUUGGUUUCAGGCUGAUACUGACGAACCCAACUUUCGUCCAUAGUAAUGAAACAAGCAAGAACAUUCUCUUAGUCGGCUUCAAACAGUUUCAGAUUGCUUGUGGACAAAAUGCACCUGGUGCGUUUCUGUUCAUGAGUCAAAAGGCGAGGGACCCACCUUGCAGAAACCGCUGAGAACCCAAGUUCUUUUGUCACUAUGUUGUCUGCUCUUUCAAAUGAGAUGUCCAGUCGGCUAUAUAUCAGGAGCUUUUGCUCCUUCAUUAGCCCUCAUCCAACCCAUUCAGCAAUCUUGCAUUAUCAUACCAAGAGCAAGGUCAAGGUUGUUCUUGAUGGUUGCAGUUGGAGGUCUCCCUGGUCUGGGGUCAUGUUCCACGCUCGAAUUCAUUUACUCAGCGUUUGACUGUUGCAUAUGAAGGAGCAUUGUCUGUUAAGGUUCUCACCAUAUCUUCAUGGAUUUCUGAUGGAGUCAUGCCUUUCAAAUGAAGGUACUUCAUGACAGCACGAUACUCAGUUUUCUCCAUUUUCUUUGUAACCUCGACACUUGUUUGUUCAAAAAUCUGCAAAAGAAAAAAAAAAAGAAAAAAAUAUCAGAAUCAUGAAAAUGAGCAAAAAUACGCCGAAAAGACUGUACAUACAAAAAAAAAAAAAUUGUUUCAGCUAUCUAGCAGCCCCGUUUCUAGGUUAGGUUCAAAACUUUUCAUACACCCCUCACUUUUAUAAGUCAAUACUGAGUUCUACUGUGUUAGCAGUGCUACUAAAUCACUUGCUAAGGCUAUCUCUACAGAUUUUCUAUAGAAAUUAUAGCCAGCGCUGAUUUCGUUCCUUAUCCGGGUAGGCCUAAUGUUUAACAACAGUGAGAUCGAAGAUGAAAAACGAAUAAUAGGUGUAUAAGCCAUAUAUCAGGAGUUUUGCUCCUUCAUUAGCCCUCAUCCAACCCAUUAACCAUCCACUAAUACAUUGCUUAAAUAGUAAGUAAAUAUAUAGCGAUGUAACAUCAUUGGACAUAGCAAUUUUUCUCAUCGAACACAUUCCUAGAAGCUGGUACGCAAAUAUUAAUGACUUGCUGAGACAAUAGCAUUAGUUACUUGGGUAGCACUACUAGCUAGUUAGUUUGGUAACUACUAUAAUCUAGUUCUGUUAUUGCUUCAGCCAGAGAACGAUUUUCAACUAAUAUUUCAUUUUACCUUAUUCAAGUAAAGUAAAAUGUUCACAGUGGAAUAUUGAGCUUGUUAAUUUAAUUGGAUAUGACAUUGACAGAAAUAAUACUGACGUUGAUGGCCCUCAACGAGGACUGCCUAUCACAAUGAAGUUGGCAGUAAUGAGAACGAUGCUGAAAAGGGUGUUAAUGAUGAGAGUGUACAUGAUGAGGAAGAUGAUGAUGAGGAAGAUGAUACUGAGGAAGAUGAUGCCGAGGAAGAUGACGAUGAUGAUGACGACGACAAUGAUGAAUCUAUCAAGGUAAUGCUAUGCAUGAUGAUGAUGUUUAUAAUUAUAAUAAGGAUGAUAAUGAUAUGAUGAUGACGACGGCGACUUCGGCAAUGAUGAUGAUUAUGAAGAAGGAGGAAGUUAUGAUUACGACGAGGAUGCUGUAGGUGUUAACGACAGUGAUGAUGGUUAUAAUGAUGAUGAGGAUGUGCACGUGGUAAUGGUGAUGAUGACGAUAAUGAUGAUGAUGAUAACAAUGAUGACGAUGAUGAAACAGGAGUAAAGAAGGUGAUGUGGGUGUUCGUGGUAGGGAACCGACAAUAAUGUUGGUUAUAACAAGCGAUGAUGAUAACGAUGAUGACCACAACGACGAUGCGGAUGGUGAUUACAAGAUGUAUUUAUAGGUCUGUACAUAAAGAAAAACUUAGUGCAUCGGUGAAGCGAUUCGGCGAACUGCGUUUCAAUUUCCGCUCACAGCAAUUUUACGUUAUUUUAAGUGUCUCAUCUCCUUUUAUAACGGCAUGAAUGUCACAACUACUAUAGGUUACAUACCCACCUAGAUAAACCAACAGGAAACUGCAUCAGCGUCUAUUCAAUGGGAUAUUCAGACAACCAUAGCAAGUUAAGACCGGAACCGGACAUGAUUAAAUGACGGAGACGAUUUAACCGACUAUAAAUCGUUCCUCUCCCUCACCCCAAACAACACCAAGAUCGCAACAAAAUGCGUAGUCACGUGGCUAAAUGAGAAAUCAUUAUAAUUAUUAUUAUUACUGUAAUUGGUAGAAUUAGUAGGGCCAACUGACAAAAAUGCCUUGUGUUGGGGUGGUGAAUUGGCAGAACGUUAAAGCUUCAAUCAAAUUCCUUUAGUCCGAGCUUUUAUGUUCUGAGUUCAAAUCCCGCCAAGGUAAACUUUACCCCUCAUUCUUCUGGAGUCCACAAAAUAAAAUACAAGACACCUACGUUUCCAAUGUGUGGCCUCUUGCCUAUGUCAGAAACUGUUAUUUUGUUAGUUAUAUUCUUUUAUGUUCUAAGUUCAAAUCUUACUGUGGUAAAGUUUGCCUCUCAUCCUUCUUGAGUAAACAAAGCAAAAUACCUGUCAAGUAGUAGGGUCGAUUUAAUCCACAGAUACCCUCUCUCCGAAUUUGUGGCCUUGUGUUUUAUAUUAUAGCGGCUGCUUAGUUAGAAGUCUGAAAAGUCAAUUCUUCAUUUUCCCUUUCUCCCUCAGUUACAGCCUCAGGUUGGUGCUUAUACCACUUGUUAAGAGAUUUUAUUUUAUAAUGCUGACGUAUUAACCAGUAUAGAUAUUGGCCAACUCUGUCAUGUCUUGAUCUAUAUUCUACUGAUACUAAAACUUUACAUGAGAGAUUAAGUGGUUCAUUGUUUCAGUUACAUCAUUGCAGAAUCAGCACUUUGGAUCAACUCCAUUUUUCAUCACAUUGGCUUUGUAGUUCCGGAUCAAUAAGCUUUGAUCUUGAAGAACUAAGAUGAAACCUUCGAUCUCUGCCCUUAGCCCUAAACUUCUUACCCACUGAUGGAUGUGCUUCUGGUCAACGUCAGCUUAUUUGUUAUGGGCCACAUAUUUGACCAGCCCAUUGUUCAUGUGCAUUUUUAUUGCUAUUAAUUCUACCUUCUUCGUAACAACAGUUACCACACUUCACUUAGGCUGUUCAGCAUGGAUAUCAAUAGCAAAUAUUCUAAUCCCAUUCAAGACAGAAUGAAGCUUUUUAUGCCUCUCGUGAUUUUCAACGAGCUUUAGCAUCCAGUCGUUAAUUGCUUCAAGAUAUUUGACCAGUCCAAUUGUGGUGGUUUUGUAUGAGAGUUCAAACUGGAUCAUGCAUCGGCCUUCUAGGGCUCUCGGAAGGUAAAAGUGAUCCACAUCUGCAUUUGGGUGGUGCAUUUUAUUAUAAGUCAGCAUCGUAAUAUUCUUCUAUCAAUCUUAUUACAAGUCAGCAGUUUAAACAUUUUCUAUCAAACUUAUAAGUCUGCAGAUUACGCAUUAAACUUUUGAGAAAGAAGAAUUCCUAACAUCGGGCUACAACAAGUAACUUUAGAUAACGAGAACCUUCCUAAGUAUUCUAGAUGUCCCUAAUAACACUGUUUUCUGGAACUGUACGAAACAAGGUUUCAUGCCUAUUUCCGCUAUCCGUCUAUUCAAAUCUUUAUGGACAGUUUCUGAUGUACCCAUAACUAUAGGGAUACCUUUUAUUAUUAUUGUUGUUGUUGUUGUUGUUGUUGUUGUCGUCGUCGUCGUUAUUAUUAUUAUUAUUAUUAUUAUUAUUAUUAUUAUUAUUAUUAUUAUUAUUAUCAUUGUCAUUUACUUUUAAUCUGCAUGUUUGAUGCAAUCACUUGCCGGGGCACACCCAGCGCCCUAGGGCAAGUGAAGGUUAAGAGUUGUUGAAAUAUAGUUGAAAGCUUGGGGAGGGGAAGUAGAGAAAUAUCUCCAUGUAAUACAAACACAAACAGUUACAUUGAUAGGGUUUUUCUAAGGAUGUGGGCAGUACUUGUUAGCACAAUCUUUUGGAUUUCCUUGAGACAUGGUUCUCCAGGGAUAUUGUCUAGGUGUUUCUGACAUCCCUUUUUUAUCAUACCUAGGGCUCCUACAAUAACAGGAACAGUUUUUGUUUUAAGAUUCCACAUCUUUUGUAUUUCGAUUUCCAGGUCCUUAUAUUUACUAAGUUUGUCAAAUUCCUUUACAGAUACAUUUUUAUCAGUGGGGACGCUUACCUCUAUUAGUCUGCAGGUAUUUUCUUCCCUGUCUUUAACAAUUAUGUCUGGUCGAUUAGCCUUGAUCGUUCUGUCAGUGUUGACUGGAAAAUCCCAGAGGAUGGUGUUCAUACCAGUUCACACCUUCAACAACUGGCUGAGGAUGGUGUUCAUACCAGUUAGCAGGAGGGUCGAAUUUGUAGUAUUUACAUAUCUUCCAAUGUAUAUACUGUCCUACCCUAUCGUGGCGAUUUUUGUAUUCGUUUGGUGUCAGCACAGGACAUCCCGAAACGAGAUGGUCUAUCGUUUCGUCAAAUGUGUCGCAGAAUCUGCAUUUAGGGUCAGUACCGUUUCGGAGAACGUUAGCCUGGAAUUUCUGGUAAACAAGCUUUGAUCUUGUGCUGCCAUUAUGAAGCCUUCAGUCUCUGCUUUCAAUCCAGAACUCUUCAGCCACUGAUGGGUUGUUGCUUGGUCUACAUCAGCAUUUUGGCUUCGGAGAAUAUAUUGUCCAUGCAGGGGCUUCUGGCUCCACCGCCUCUCAAUUUGAUUCUGCCCGUUCUUUUUUGCAGUCUGCUUGAUUCGCUUUGCUUGCUUGGUAGCAGUGGUUUCCGGCUCUUCAUCUGAUUCAAGGUUAAUGUCUAGUUCCCUUUCGAACUUAUAGGCUUCCUUGACAAUAGAAUGCAGCUUUUUGCUGCUUUCGUGUUCGUACACAAGUCGCAGCAUCCAGUCCUUUGUACUAGAUAGGCACCUGUUCAUUCCUACAGUAGAGGUCUUAUAGCACAGUUCUAAUUGCAUCAUUCCUCUCCCUCCGCUGCUUCUAGGUAGGUACAGGCGGUCUACAUCUGCCUUAGGGUGGUGCAUGCUCUUGGAUGUCAGUAAUUUUCUUGUCUUCCUGUCCAAGCGUUGGAGUUCCGUAAGGUUCCAGUUAAUGAUGUUAAAACUGUACUGGACUACUGGAAGCGCCAGGGUGUUAAUGGCCUCAAUGCAAUUUUUGGAGUUGAGUUCAGUCUUCAGUACAAGCCUUAUUCUCCUAUAGUAUUCCUUUCUUAUUUUUUCCUUCAUAGUAGCAUGAUGUAUACCAUCUCCUUCGUUGAUUCCUAGGUAUUUGUAACUUUCUUGUGGGUCAAGUUCCUUAUUAUUAUUAUUAUUAUUAUUAUUAUUAUUAUUAUUAUUAUUAUUAUUAUUAUUAUUAUUAUUAUUAUUAUUAUUAUAAUUAUUUGUUUGGAUUUUGCUUUGUAUUUGUACAAGUUGACUCCAAGUCUCACCCAGAGACCUUAAGAGACAACAGGUCACAAGUUCAAGUUGGUGUUAUGACUAGGGUGUCAUAUUUUUGGUUUUGCACAAAGUAUUAUUCUAGAGAAUGUUUGUGAAAACAUAAAAAUUACAAGCAUGUUUUAAAAAUAAUUUGAUUAUAUAAUGGUAGUGUGAUGUUAAGAUAACAGUAGAAGGUGUUGGCUAUUAUGUACAUUUAUAAAUAUUUUGACUCAGUUUACAGAUUAAAAUGUUUUUGGGAUUGCAUGGGAUUACGUAUACAAUGUUUUUCGGUGUUACAUAGACAAUAUUUCUCGUAGUUAAAAAGUUUUGGGGAUUACAUAAAUAAUAUUUUUCGUAUUAUUAUUUUAUUAAUAUUGAGUGAUAGAGCAGUGCAUGCCAUCAAUGUGACAGUGGGGUGAAAUAUAUGAAGCCCAAUAUACCCAUCAUGACUACUUGCCUGAUAACGGUACAACAGGCACAUGCAUCACAACCAUAUGUGCAUGACAUGGUGGUCUCAUAUCAAGAUCUCAUAAACAGCGCAUAACCUUGCAGGUGGAGCCCCGUUAGAACUUUUUUCAGGUCAAGUAGCCGAUCCCACCCAAAAAGGCCCUGAAGAAGGGUUGUUUAAGGAUAUUGAACGAAAUACCCAUGUUUCCAGAGUUGUAUUAUUCAAACCCCAAACAAUUCCUCUCAACACAUCCCUCACUACUUCUGUUCAUGAUUAGAGAUGCACCUAUCGUCAGUUACUAAGAGACAUACUCAACUGGUUAAGAUCAAACAACCGAGAAGGAAACCUGUGGUACUGAGCAGAAUAUUUGCUGUAAACCAUCUUUUAUACCAGGUCAAAACAGAAUCUUUGCAUUAUCAUUUUCGAUGGUGCCCUCGGGUUUGUAGUCGUACCAAUCGUUUGCUCUGUCAAGUCCAUAUUUGUUGCAAAGUGUUCAGUGGACAAACCUUGCUAUAUUGUCGUGGCGUCUCUUAUAUUCCUUCUGGUCUAGUGGCGUACAUUGACUCGUAAUAUGCUAUACGGUUUCACCAUAUUGUCCACAGAUUCUGCACUUAUCACUUUCUGAAGUGUUGUCAAUUCUAUAUUUUAUGUAGUUUGUUCUUAGUGCUUGCUCUUGGGCAGCACAGAUUAGAGCCUCCGUUUCCGGUUUUAAUUCACUUUUAGUCAUCCACAGCUAUCUUUUUUUCUCUGUCUAUCUUCAAUAUCCCCAUGAAAUUGCCCAUUCAUUCAUUUCUUUACCCACCUAUUUUCAGUUGCUUGUACAGUGCUUUAUCUUUGCAGUCUUUCAUCCUACACAGGCCUGACCUUUUUACUUCUAAUAAUAGCGGUUCUGUGGAAUUUUUUUACAUACCAUGCUAUGUUGUUUUCUUCUGCUCUAAUGCUGUGUUCGCACCCAAUAAGUCCUCUUCCCCCUCUUUUUCUUGUCUGUGUCACUUUUUGGAUGGAGUGUCCCAUAUCUUGUUAGCAACUUCCUAGUCUUUCUGUUUAAUCUGUUUAGUUCAUUUACUGUUCCAUGCGAUUACCCCUGAUACAUAUCUAAGGAGUGAAACCGCCCAGGUGUUGAUAGCUUCAAUCUUAUUCCGUUCGUUUAAUUUCGACUUAAGGAUCAGUCUCAGUCUGCGCAAGUACUCCACCUUAAAUUUUUCUGUCAUUUCUUCCUCCAUCAAUUUAUCCAUAGUAGUAGUAGUAGUAGUAGUAGUAUUGGUUGUAGUAGCAGCAGCAGCAGCAGUAGUAGUAGUAGUAGCAGCAGUAGUAGUAGUAGUAGUAGUAGCAGCAGUAGUAGUAGUAGCAGCAGCAGCAGCAGUAGUAGUAGUAGUAGUAUUGGUAGUAGUAGUAGUAGUAGUAGCAGCAGCAGCAGUAGUAGUAGUAGCAGCAGCAGCAGCAGCAGCAGUAGUAGUAGUAGUAGUAGUAGUAAUAGUAGUAGUAGUAGUAGUAGUAGUAGUAGUAGUAGUAGUAGUAGUAGUAGUAUCAGCAGCAGAAGUUGUAGUAACGUCGAGACGCACACGAAUACUAAUAGGAGACAUUUUUCCUUAAUUAUAAAGAUAUGUAUACCGAUCGACCGGAAUAUAAAUAUCAUCACCAUCAUCAUCAUCAUCAUCGUCGUCGCCGUUGUUGUUCUUGUUGUGGUAAGACUGUGGUUGUUCUUGUGAUUGUAGAAUAUAUUGUAACUAAAAUAUACACGUAAGAAAUGCAUAAUUCAAGUUAUUUCGAGAGUAGUUUCAUUUAUUCAUUUAUGUGUUUACUUAUUCAUUCCUUUAUUUUAUCAUGUCGUCUUUGAAGCACUUAGAUGGUUUUUAUACAACGAGAAAAUGAUGUCUUAUGAAAACUCUUUAUUGAAUCUGUUUUUUUCAUCACCGUCUCUGAAUUUUUCUUCACUGUUCAAUUGUUAUAUGUAAUCUAGUUACAUAUCUAAUGCACAGAAUGCUUGAAACCCAAAGAAAAACAAUCCACCUUCCAGACGAAUCAAAUAACAAGAAUAAAAAUUAAACAAUAAUAAAGUUACCUAACUUUUGAUAUGGGUAAAAAUCGUAACUUCAGUAAAGUUUUAGAGUAGAUUAUGCAAACCACUGUAGUUGUAUCUGAUUGGUACCCGAAAGGGUGAAAGUCAAAUUUGUCUCCGAUAGGUUCUUGAAAUCAGAGAGCAAACGGACAUAAUUCAAAUGCUGCAAAACAUAUUCGUUCCCGCUACUAUCGAUAUUACCAUUUCCAACAAUUUUUAACGAAGGCACAAGGGCACAUAUUUCCUGAAGAGAGGUGCACGGUCGAUUUUAUUGAUUCCGGUACGUUACUCGUACUUAUGUUAUUGACAUUCGUAGGAUGAAAAAGAAAUGUUGAAUUACUUUUUAUUUGACACCACCUUUUGCCGACAAUAAUGUGGAAUUGCGAUGGGAGCAAAAGCAGCCCCAAUUUUUGCGAAACUAAUCAUGGGAUAUUGAGAAACACUACAAAAUAUGGAUGCUCAUUUUACCAUUAUAUAAGAGAACUGGAAAAGAUAUCUGGGUAACUGCUUUAUUAUUUGGAAUGAGAAUAUUGAUAACUAUUUGAAUUUAAAUCAUUACUCAGUAAUAUAAAUCCAAAUAUUCAAUUUAUAAUGGAGUAUAGCAAAGAGCAACCCUCAUUGUUUAUAUUUUGAUUUAAAAAGUCAACAAUGAAAUUGAAACUGAUACCAGACUCGAAACAAUACCUUCUGUUUAAUUCUUGGUACCAAAAACAUAAAAAAAUAAUAUUCCCUUUAAUUUAACGAAAAGGAUUUGCACAAUAGUGUCUGAUACAAAUAUUCGGGACUUACGACUCCAAGGCCUUUGAACCUCACUAACCGAGAGACACUAUCCACCCUCACUAAUAGAUGAUAGGAUUAAACAUGCCAAGAAAAUAGAUGAUAGAAUACUACGGGAAACAAAGCAAAAUCCCACACAUCAUCUACAAAUGUCACCCUACAUAUCGACAUGCAACCUUAGAAACAAUGAGGUAUAUAACAUCAUUUAAAAAAAUUUACUGAUGCUCACUAGGGACUCAAAGAUGAAUCACAUUUCACAAACACACAAAUUCAUCAAAAGUGAAAAAAAUAACCUAAAUCAUUAAAAAGAAUAUUGACAAAUGCGAAGUUAUACCCCACAACGAUGAAACCAAUUUUUAAAAGAUGCAGGCAUCCAAACUGUGGAACAUGCCCCAACCUACUGGCAGUUUCGGAAUUCCACUUCAAACAAGGAGAGGGAUUCACAAUUGAGACCAAUUUCACAUGUGCAUCCUAAAAUUUAAUUUAUGUGAUAACUAGUUCAGAGUGUGGACACAACUAUACAGGUCAAUCGAACAUGUCCCUUAGACAGUGAAAUACACUUCAUAAAGAACAGAUUCGUUUCCCAAGGUAUAGACAGAUAAUUUUAAGUGAACACAUCGAGAGAUGUGCGGGGAAUCGCCGGCCAAUCUUCACGGUUUUCCUUAUCUACCAGUACAAGGAAACAAUUUCUAUACAACAACGAUU